GCGAGUGUAACUCAGUGGUAGAGUAGUACGUUCCCAACGUACCUGUCGUGGGUUCGAUCCCCAUCACUCGCUC
rnacentral:tRNA from 1 species